UACCUGGUUGAUCCUGCCAGUAGUCAUAUGCUUGUCUCAAAGAUUAAGCCAUGCAAGUCUAAGUACGAGCUCUCGUACAGUGAAACUGCGAAUGGCUCAUUAAAUCAGUUAUGGUUCAUUUGAUCGUACAGUUUACUUGGAUAACUGUGGUAAUUCUAGAGCUAAUACAUGCGAGAAGCGCCGACCUCGCGGGAGGCGUGCAUUUAUCAGACCAAAAACCGGCCGCGUCUUCGGGCGCGUUCGCCUUGGUGACUCUGGAUAACUUUGCGGAUCGCACGGUCUAGCACCGGCGACGGAUCAUUCAAGUGUCUGCCCUAUCAACUUUCGUCGGUACGGUAUUUGCCUACCGAGGUUCUUACGGGUGACGGGGAAUCAGGGUUCGAUUCCGGAGAGGGAGCCUGAGAAACGGCUACCACAUCCAAGGAAGGCAGCAGGCGCGCAAAUUACCCAUUCCCGACGCGGGGAGGUAGUGACGAAAAAUAACAAUGCAGGACUCGUUCGAGGCCCUGUAAUUGGAAUGAGUACACUUUAAAAGCUUUAACGAGUAUCCAUUGGAGGGCAAGUGCCAGCAGCCGCGGUAAUUCCAGCUCCAAAAGUAUAUAUUUAAGUUGUUGCGGUUAAAAAGCUCGUAGUUGGAUUU
rnacentral:ncRNA from 1 species